GUCCUGUGGCAUCUCCCAGAACGUGGGGGACCGGGCUGGGGGGGGUCGUCUCCCCUCCGCUCUCCCCAAUGGGCUCUUCCCGCCCGCCCCGAAUGCCCCCUAGGACUCGGCAGGAAUAAGGACAAGAGAACGGCCCAACCCUGCCCCCUCCCUUCCUCUGGCCCUGGCCCUCCGGCUGCUCCCCAUCUUUGUCGUCCUCUCCAUGUCGCGAAAGUGCUACUGCUCUGGCCCCUCGGGCGCGGGCCCUCCACACUCUGGGUCCCUCUGUCUCCUUGCACGGUCCCCGUGGACACCCAGCAGUCAUGUCAGGGGACUAUGAGGAUGACCUUUGUCGCCGGGCUCUGACCUUAGUCUCUGACCUGUGCUCCCGGAUCCAGGAUGCUGAUGAGAAAUGCCAGGAGUUUUGGCGGAUCCGAGGCUAUCCCCGGCCCUCAGAUGCAG
rnacentral:lncRNA from 1 species